AUAUACUAAAAUUGGAAUGAUACAUAUACUAAAAUUGGAAUGAUACAGAGAUUAGCGUGGCCCCUGCAAAAGGAUGACAUGCAAAUUCAUGAAAUGUUUUAUAUUUUU
ensembl:snRNA U6 U6 spliceosomal RNA